rnacentral:lncRNA from 1 species
AUGACUUGGUGUCCCUGCUAAUUUUCAACACAAUUCAUCCUUAAAAAGGUUUUGAGACUUAAUCCAUGCAAAAUAUUUAAUACAGAAAAGAUGCAGUUUGAUUGCCAAUGAGAGUCCAUAUGACACAGAAAUUAACAGCUAUAGUUCUUCGUAUGGCAUUCGAUGAGAUUAUCCCAUACCGCAAAGUCAGCUAUCAAGGGCCCAA